UACGUAGGGCGCAAGCGUUGUCCGGAAUUAUUGGGCGUAAAGAGCUCGUAGGCGGUUUGUCGCGUCUGCUGUGAAAAACCUAAGGCUCAACCUUGGGCUUGCAGUGGGUACGGGCAGACUAGAGUGCGGUAGGGGUGACUGGAAUUCCUGGUGUAGCGGUGAAAUGCGCAGAUAUCAGGAGGAACACCAGUGGCGAAGGCGGUGGUCUGGGCCGAUACUGACGCUGUAGAGCGAAAGCGUGGGGAGCGAACAGG
rnacentral:rRNA from 1 species